GCGAAACUGCGAAUGGCUCAUUAUAUAAGUUAUCGUUCAUUUGAUAGUGCCUUCUUACUUGGAUAACCGUGGUAAUUCUAGAGCUAAUACAUGCUGGGAAUCCCGACUCCGGAAGGGAUGUAUUUAUUAGACCAAAAGCCAAUGCCCCCCCCCGGGGCUCGCUGGUGAUUCACAAUAACUUCUCGAAUCGCAGGGCCUUGCGCCGGCGAUGGUUCAUUCAAAUUUCUUCCCUAUCAACUUUCGACGUUUGGGUAGUGGCCAAACAUGGUGGCAACGGGUAACGGAGGGUUAGGGCUCGACCCCGGAGAAGGAGCCUGAGAAACGGCUACUACAUCCAAGGAAGGCAGCAGGCGCGCAAAUUACCCAAUCCCGACCCGGGGAGGUAGUGACAAUAAAUACCGAUACAGGGCUCUUUUGGGUCUUGUAAUUGGAAUGAGUACAAUUUAAAUCCCUUAGCGAGGAACAAUUGGAGGGCAAGUCUGGUGCCAGCAGCCGCGGUAAUUCCAGCUCCAAUAGCGUAUAUUAAAGUUGUUGUGGUUAAAAAGCUCGUAGUUGAACCUUGGGCCUGGCUGGCCGGUCCGCCUCACCGCGUGCACUGGUCCGGCCGGGCCUUUCCCCCUGUGGAACCCCAUGCCCUUCGCUGGGUGCGGCGGGGAAACAGGACGUUUACUUUGAAAAAAUUAGAGUGCUUCAGGCAGGCCUAUGCUCGGAUACAUUAGCAUGGAAUAAUGAAAUAGGAUGUGCGGUUCUAUUUUGUUGGUUUCUGGGACCGCCGUAAUGAUCGAUAGGGACAGUCGGGGGCGUCAGUAUUCAGUUGUCAGAGGUGAAAUUCUUGGAUUUACUGAAGACUAACCACUGCGAAAGCAUUCGCCAGGGAUGUUUUCAUUAAUCAGGAACGAAAGUUAGGGGAUCGAAGACGAUCAGAUACCGUCGUAGUCUUAACCAUAAACUAUGCCGACUAGGGAUCGGACGAUGUUAUCUUUUUGACUCGUUCGGCACCUUGCGAGAAAUCAAAGUGCUUGG
rnacentral:rRNA from 1 species